UGAAUUUUUUUCCCCUAUCUCUGUUUGUUUUAUAACUUUUUAUAAAAAAAUAAAAUAAAAAUUAGUAUCAAUACAAUUUAUCUCCAUGUUGGAAAGGCCAAUAAACUGGGGCAAAGCUGAAAGUCAAUCCAAAGCAAGUUUCAGGCAAGAAAGGAAUGAGUAGCUAGCUAGCUGAUGGUUGGUACUUGCCUUGGCAAUUUGGCAUAUGAUGACCGUUAGGUUAUACCUAAAACUCAUAUCAUGCACUUAUUAGAUUACAAAUUUGAUAGUUGUUACCAAGAAAAUAUUACUUUGAUAGAGAAAUUUUCAAGCGAAGCAAAGAAGAAUGUAAGUGAAAGAGAGUUUAGUGAUUAAUAUGAAUUUUGGGUGUGAUUCUCCAACAUCAUCAUCACCUCCUACACCUCCCUCUCCACUCCCCAUUAGUUUUGGACCAGGCAAUCGGACAUACUCCUUCUCAGUAUCUUCAACUCCUUCACCACCUUUCUCCCAUGCUUCUUCCUCACACCCGUCUGAGGACAAUCUUCCCCUUCUGCUCAAGACAUUAGACAGUCCUGAUGUUCCAUCGGUAUUUUCAUUGGAUCUCCAAUAUCCUCAACAAUUCCAAUCCAAGACUACAUGCCUCAUGGACUUGUUGGAAUGGUUUAUACAACGCUGUUGCGGUUGCUGUAACAAAUUUCCUUGAAUCCUCCUAACACCGCAGAACAGCUCAAGGAAUCAAAUAAGUGGUCAACAGAAUCUGCUCCCAAUGGUUAUUAUUUAGGCAUUCAAUUGGAUUCCAAAGUCUCCGAGUAGACGACAUCUAACAAAUCUCCUUAACCAAUUUUAUUUUUCCUACAUUUUUUUUUCUCGAAUAACUUGAUAGGAUUUCAGAUACAAUCUAACAAUUAACAUAUUGGUAGAUCUUGAGAUAUUGUCCCCCCUAAGAACAACCGUCUGUUUUGAGGUGUGUUAUUCAGUGUUCAUGUUGCCAGAAAAAGUUAUUAAAUGUAUUAGAUUUGGGAGUAUUUAAA